UACGAAGGGGGCUAGCGUUGCUCGGAAUCACUGGGCGUAAAGGGUGCGUAGGCGGGUCUUUAAGUCAGGGGUGAAAUCCCGGAGCUCAACUCCGGAACUGCCUUUGAUACUGGCAAUCUUGAGGCUGGAAGAGGUUAGUGGAAUUCCCAGUGUAGAGGUGAAAUUCGUAGAUAUUGGGAAGAAACACCAGUGGCGAAGGCGGCUAACUGGAUC
rnacentral:rRNA from 1 species